rnacentral:rRNA from 1 species
CCCUCUGAGGUGCCCGCGGAGGUGCGGAUAUCUGGACCUUGUGGCGCUUCGCUACGCGUGCAUGGUCAACUCCAUCGACAGGCUCGUCCUUACACACCUCGAUGUCUAUGAUACGCUCCCCGAGUUUGAAGCCUGCGUCGGGUACCGGAUAGGCGACAAAGUAGUGCAGGAUUUUCCCGCGUCCAUAAAAGACUUGGAGUCUGCGGUACCCGUCCUUAAGCGGUUUGAAGGCUGGCAGCAACCAAUCGAGAAUUGCCAGAGUUGGGAAGACCUGCCCCUCAAAGCUAAGGAAUAUGUCGAUUUUAUCGAGGACUACACCCAGACGCCUAUUUCGAUUAUCUCGGUCGGCUCGGAACGCCGCAAGACGAUAAUCAGGGAGAGC